rnacentral:lncRNA from 1 species
CCAUCCCUCGAGGACCACCGCAAGGUCGUCGUUACUACGAGCUUCAACAUCGGCAUCAAACACAUGGUCAAGUGAGUCCACUAACAAGCCUGGUGAGCGCCUGGGUCUUCUGCCGUGACGGAACAAGCGCGUAAUAGCUUCAGUUUUAGCUGACACUAGGCAGGCAGGUAGCUGGUUAGUGUCCUGUCACGGAGGAAGACUCAUCCGGUAUGCCAUGGCGCUACUGGUCACAAUUUCGUGCCAAUUUGUAUUCUGGUGCGGAUUGUGGUUUCGGCGGUUGUUUCAGCAAUUUCAGGUCUCGCGUCGACUUCAAUCACUACGGCUACGCAUCGUGCUCAUGCUUCGGCCAAUGACAGAGACACACGUGCUUACCGCCCUAGUCAAAAUACCUGACCUG